rnacentral:rRNA from 1 species
AAGUGCCCCGCCUGGGGAGUACGGCCGCAAGGCUAAAACUCAAAGGAAUUGACGGGGGCCCGCACAAGCGGCGGAGCAUGCGGAUUAAUUCGAUGCAACGCGAAGAACCUUACCAAGGCUUGACAUGGGCCGGUCCGGGCUGGAAACAGUCCUUCCCCUUUUGGGGCCGGUUCACAGGUGGUGCAUGGUUGUCGUCAGCUCGUGUCGUGAGAUGUUGGGUUAAGUCCCGCAACGAGCGCAACCCUCGUUCCAUGUUGCCAGCACGUGAUGGUGGGGACUCAUGGGAGACUGCCGGGGUCAACUCGGAGGAAGGUGGGGACGACGUCAAAUCAUCAUGCCCCUUAUGUCUUGGGCUUCACGCAUGCUACAAUGGCCGGUACAAAGGGUUGCGAUACUGUGAGGUGGAGCUAAUCCCAAAAAGCCGGUCUCAGUUCGGAUUGGGGUCUGCAACUCGACCCCAUGAAGUCGGAGUCGCUAGUAAUCGCAGAUCAGCAACGCUGCGGUGAAUACGUUCCCGGGCCUUG